rnacentral:lncRNA from 1 species
UUCAAGAGGGUGGUGAAGGCCAAGUCGACGGAGCGGUUCGAUGGGCUCCCCUACCUGCUCUCCCUGCUCAACUGCUGCAUCUGCCUCUGGUACGGCCUCCCCUGGGUCUCCGACGGCGGCAGGACCCUCGUGGCCACCGUCAACGGCACCGGCGCGCUGUUCCAGCUCGCGUACAUUUCGCUCUUCAUCUUCUACGCCGACAGCAGGAGCACACGGGUAAUUCUUUCCUUGCCGACUUGCCGUCCUCAACUACACCAGCUUCAGUUCGGAAAAGAGACCCGAAGAAUUGUGCUGGUUCUUUGCCGUGUCUGACUGACCGACACGAGUAAGAUGGACCGCACAAUUUUGUCUGUGGAAGCUGUUUUCUUUCUUCCAUUUCUGCAAUAGACGAUGUUUGCGUGGAUAAUGAGACCUGUUCUUCGUCCUCUCCACAGUUAAAGAUCACGGGGAUCCUGCUGCUCGAAGUCUUCGUGUUCGCGUUCGUUGCGCAUGCGAGCAUCGCCUUCUUGGACCAGCCGGCCCGGCAGCUGUUCAUCGGCGGCGUGAGCAUGGCGUCUCUGAUCUCCAUGUUUGCCUCCCCACUGGCCGUCAUGGUACGCUUUCCUAAGCUGAGCGCUCGAUUGAUUUCUUCCUCGUCUAACUUUGCCGCCGGACGAAAUGACCACCUCUCACGGCUUUUGCGUGUUUCGUCCUGGUUCUUCAGGGUUUGGUGAUCCGGACCGAGUGCGUGGAGUUCAUGCCCUUCUACUUGUCCCUCUCCACCUUCCUCAUGAGCGCCUCCUUCACAAUGUACGGGCUUCUGCUGCGUGAUUUCUUCAUAUACGUGAGCACCCGAUUCGUUCUCAUUUCAGCUUACGCUUUCAUGAACUGAUUGUCGAACUUAUUUGGUAGAUGCGUUCACCGAGAGUUCGGUUAACCAACUUUUGAGUUUUGAUGUUGAUUUUUCAGGUCCCCAAUGGGAUUGGAGUCAUCCUGGGAGCAAUGCAGCUGGUGCUGUACGCUUACUACAGCAGGAAAUGGAAGAGCAGUGAACCUUCUGCACCGUUGCUCGCCUGAGCAAAACCGACUUGAUCAGUCAGCUGGUUGCUCUCCGUUGCUGGGAUUCAGAAAAGAGGGGGGUGACGGUUUCUUGAAGGAGAGUCUAAGAGGGAGAUGUUACUACUUGCUAGUGGCAGUCUAUACGUUGUUUUGUCCUGGUCACUGUGCUGUACAUUGUUGGCUUUGUGCCCCGUCAUUUCUCUUCACGUAUUUGUAGUGAAA